rnacentral:rRNA from 1 species
GACAGAGGGUGCAAACGUUGUUCGGAAUUACUGGGCGUAAAGGGCGCGUAGGCGGCUUCGAUAGUUGGGCGUGAAAUGCCUGGGCUUAACCCAGGAAUUGCGCUCAAUACUGUGAGGCUCGAGUGUGGGAGAGGAUAGUGGAAUUCCCAGUGUAGAGGUGAAAUUCGUAGAUAUUGGGAAGAACACCAGCGGCGAAGGCGGCUAUCUGGACCACAACUGACGCUGAGGCGCGAAAGCGUGGGGAGCAAACAGG